rnacentral:rRNA from 1 species
UCAAGUUAUUAAGGGUGCAGGGCGGAUGCCUUGGCACUAGGAGCCGAUGAAGGACGUGAUAAGCUGCGAUAAGCUUCGGGGAGUUGCACGUAAACUUUGAUCCGAAGAUUUCCGAAUGAGGAAACUCACUUAGAGUAAUGUCUAAGUAUCAUUAAGUGAAUACAUAGCUUAAUGAGGGGAACUCAGGGAACUGAAACAUCUAAGUACCUGAAGGAAGAGAAAGAAAUUCGAUUCCGUAAGUAGCGGCGAGCGAACACGGAUUAGCCCAAACCAAUAAAGUUUUCUUUAUUGGGGUUGCGGACAUAUCAUAACGAAGAGGUAUCGUAAUUGAAGAGGUUUGGAAAGACCCACCACAGAAGGUAAUAGUCCUGUAUGUUAAACGAGAAGACUUCAGAUAUGAUCCAGAGUACCACGGGACACGUGAAACCCUGUGGGAAGCAGGAGGGACCACCCUCCAAGGCUAAAUACUACCUAGUGACCGAUAGCGUAUAGUACCGUGAGGGAAAGGUGAAAAGAACCCCGGGAGGGGAGUGAAAUAGAACCUGAAACCCUGCACUUACAAGCUGUGGAAGCACAUUUCUUGUGUGACCGCGUACUUUUUGUAGAACGGGCCAACGAGUUACGUUAAGUAGCAAGGUUAAGCACUUAAGGUGCGGAGCCGUAGCGAAAGCGAGUUUUAACUGAGCGUUCAGUUACUUGACGUAGACCCGAAACCGGGCGACCUACCCAUGAGCAGGAUGAAGCGAAAGUAAAAUUUCGUGGAGGUCCGAACCCACGAGCGUUGAAAAGCUCGGGGAUGACUUGUGGGUAGCGGUGAAAUUCCAAUCGAGCCCGGAGAUAGCUGGUUCUCCCCGAAAUAGCUUUAGGGCUAGCCUCAAGGUGAGAGAUACGGAGGUAGAGCACUGAAUGUCCUAGGGGGUAUUGCACCUACCGAAGACUAUCAAACUCCGAAUGCCGUCAUCUUAUACUUGGGAGUCAGACUGUGGGUGAUAAGAUUCAUAGUCGAAAGGGCAACAGCCCAGAUCGUCAGCUAAGGUCCCUAAAUGUAAGUUAAGUGGUAAAGGAUGUGGGAUUGCACAGACAACCAGGAUGUUGGCUUAGAAGCAGCCACUCAUUCAAAGAGUGCGUAAUAGCUCACUGGUCGAGUGAUCCUGCGCCGAAGAUUUCCGGGGCUAAAACUUACUACCGAAGCUACGGCAUCAGUAAUGAUGGGUAGGGGAGCUUCCCAUACGGGUUGAAGCAUGACCGUAAGGACAUGUGGACAGUAUGGGAGUGAGAAUGUUGGCAUGAGUAGCGAGAUGUGGGUGAGAAUCCCACAGGCCGUAAACCCAAGGUUUCCAGGGGAAGGUUCGUCCGCCCUGGGUUAGUCGGGACCUAAGCUGAGGCCGAAAGGCGUAGGUGAUGGACAACAGGUUGAUAUUCCUGUACUACCGAUAACCGUUUGAGAGAAGGGAUGACACAGUAGGAUAAGCUAAGCACACUGUUGGUUAUGUGUGCCCAAGCAUUGAGGCAGUCAAAGCAGGCAAAUCCGCUUUGAUAAUGCUGGGAUGUGAUGGGGAGCGAAAUUUAGUAGCGAAGUAGCUGAUUUCACACUGUCAAGAAAAGUCUCUAUCGAGGUUAAAGGUACCCGUACCGCAAACCGACACAGGUGGGUGAGGAGAGUAUCCUAAGGCCAGCGAGAGAACUGUUGUUAAGGAACUCGGCAAAAUGACCCCGUAACUUAGGGAUAAGGGGUGCCACCAUCCGGUGGCCGCAGAGAAUAGGCCCAAGCGACUGUUUACCAAAAACAUAGGUUUCUGCUAAGUCGCAAGACGAUGUAUAGGAGCUGACGCCUGCCCGGUGCUGGAAGGUUAAGGGGAUCUGUUAGAGCAAUCGAAGCAGUGAACUUAAGCCCCAGUAAACGGCGGCCGUAACUAUAACGGUCCUAAGGUAGCGAAAUUCCUUGUCGGGUAAGUUCCGACCCGCACGAAAGGCGUAACGAUUUGGGCACUGUCUCAACAACAGACUCGGUGAAAUUGUAAUUCCGGUGAAGAUGCCGGAUACCUGCGACAGGACGGAAAGACCCCAUGGAGCUUUACUGUAGCUUGACAUUGGGUCUUGGUACUACAUGUACAGGAUAGGUGGGAGGCUUUGAAACCAGGACGCCAGUUUUGGCGGAGCCAUCCUUGGGAUACCACCCUUGUAGUACUGGGACUCUAACCAUAGGCCAUGAAUCUGGUCUUGGGACACUGUCAGGUGGGCAGUUUGACUGGGGCGGUCGCCUCCCAAAAGGUAACGGAGGCGCUCAAAGGUUCUCUCAGUACGGUCGGAAAUCGUACGUAGAGUGUAAAGGCAAAAGAGAGCUUGAUUGCAAGACAUACAGGUCGAGCAAGGAUGAAAAUCGGACUUAGUGAUCCGGUGGUUCUGCGUGGAAGGGCCAUCGCUCAACGGAUAAAAGCUACCCUGGGGAUAACAGGCUUAUCUCCCCCAAGAGUCCACAUCGACGGGGAGGUUUGGCACCUCGAUGUCGGCUCAUCACAUCCUGGGGCUGUAGUAGGUCCCAAGGGUUGGGCUGUUCGCCCAUUAAAGUGGUACGCGAGCUGGGUUCAGAACGUCGUGAGACAGUUCGGUCCCUAUCCGUCGCAGGCGUAGGAAAUUUGAGAAGACCUGUCCUUAGUACGAGAGGACCGGGAUGGACGUACCUCUGGUGUACCAGUUGUCCUGCCAAGGGCAUGGCUGGGUAGCUAUGUACGGAAUGGAUAAGCGCUGAAAGCAUCUAAGCGCGAAGCCAACUUCAAGAUAAGAUUUCCCACCGCAAGGGUAAGACCCCAGAAAGACUAUCUGGUUGAUAGGUCGAAGGUGUAAGUGCAGCAAUGUAUUUAGCUUAUCGAUACUAAUAGGUCGAGGACUUGACCAA